ncrna:unclassified sequences ZMP/ZTP riboswitch
CAUUAGUUAUAUGACUGACGGAAGUGGAAUUGACCACAGGGAGUAUAAUAAAUCAAAAUGAAGAAGCCGACCGUCUGGGCAAAGAAG